ensembl:lncRNA novel transcript
GCUGUUCUAUUUGCACAGAGUGCUGGUGCUACUUUGCAUGUUGAGCGUCGACAAGAAAAUGACACAAAGCAACUUGCCAGCCAUAACUUUACACUUAGUUCCAUACAUAUUUGGAGUUAGCCGAUGGCGUUUCAGCAAGCACAUAUUUUAUAGGAUGCCUUUAAUCAUAAGCCACAGCUUUUAAUUUUUGUUCCUCUUGCCAUGUUAUAGAUAUGGCUGAUGACAUCUUCCUCCUUGUGGUAGAUAAAGAAAAAGCACAAGAAAAAUCAUUUCCAGGCUGUGGUCUCACAGUGACUUGUGGAGCAAGCCUAUAAAUAAGAAUGGUGGAUAAAGAUUGCGAAUUUGCACAGCUAUAAAGCUUACUAAUUAAAGACUACAAACACAAAGAGAGCAAGCCUUGUGAUGACUGCACAAUAACGAGGAUUCAGAUACAACGUGGUCGCCACCUGACGCCCACCUCCACAAAAAGCCAUUCUCAAAAGGAGAGAGACAUUCAUAUCCAGAAGAGGGAGUCGGCUGUAGGGUAGAGAUGUUCGUCUGAAGAUUUCAAAGCCCACUGCUGAUUUAAGGUCAUUCACAUUCAGCCAUGAAGCUGCUCUGAAGACACAGGAACUGCAUAGCUCCCUACUGGGAAUGUCAAGGGCUGUGAAAGGUCUAAGGUUUUAUCCUACUUGCAACCAACAAGCUAUGCAGCCACAGUUUUAUGGAUGCUGUCAAAAGACAUGACACUCCUGGGUUAUUUGCAACUUACCUGGCUAAGCUGAACUCCAGAAUUUGGACUAGAGGCUUCAGGAUGCUGGUGCAGUUCAAGUCUGGUCCACAUGUCUCCUCCUCCUUCGAGGGUCAUUGACUACUUUGUGUAUCUUCUUUUCAUGACAGUUCAUAUGAGUGCAAGAUGGCUCGAUAGACUUGCACACAAGUUUAAAGAUUUUUGUAUACACCUCAUUCCAUUGUUAAAGCAAGUUGCAUGGUCAAAUCUAACAUCUCUGGACAAGGACAUGCAUUCAUACCACUCUACUGCACUGCAAGCUCACGCAGAGGAGCAGAUCAUAAAACGUGAUUGAUGCAUGAUGAUGAUAAUGACCAACCUACCAUCAUGGACAUGACCGUAUGUUGAUACUAAGCCUCUUAGUAAAAUGAGCUAAAGAAACCAGAACUAUCUGCCUUCAGCUCAGCUGUC